rnacentral:rRNA from 1 species
GUGUCUUUCGGGAUGCGAGUAAAGUGGCGCACGGGUGAGUAACACGUAAGCAAUCUACCCUUAGGCCUGGGAUAACCCCGAGAAAUCGGGGCUAAUACCGGAUGAUGCAGCGGCACCGCAUGGUGAUGUUGUUAAAGUUUAUAUGGCGUCUAAGGAUGAGCUUGCGUCUGAUUAGCUUGUUGGUAAGGUAAUGGCUUACCAAGGCUGCGAUCAGUAGCUGGUCUGAGAGGAUGAUCAGCCACACUGGAACUGAGACACGGUCCAGACUCCUACGGGAGGCAGCAGUGAGGAAUAUUGGGCAAUGGGCGAAAGCCUGACCCAGCAACGCCGCGUGGAGGAUGAAUGCCGUAAGGUUGUAAACUCCUGUUAGAGGGGAAGAACAAUCCCGAUAGACUCGGGACAUGACUGUACCCUCAGAGAAAGCUCCGGCUAACUACGUGCCAGCAGCCGCGGUAAUACGUAGGGAGCAAGCGUUGUCCGGAUUUACUGGGUGUAAAGGGCGCGCAGGCGGGUCGGUAAGUCAGAGGUGAAAUCCUACAGCUCAACUGUAGAACUGCCUUUGAUACUGCUGAUCUUGAGUAUGGAAGAGAGAGAC